AUGGGUCGCUGUCGUUGCUCUCGCUUCCUCCUCUACGCAGAAGAAAGGAGAAAUGAAAAUAGCAGCUGCUGAGUGACUGUUCAGAUUUGAUAUGGAAUGAUUACAUGACCCCAUCUGGCACAUGUGACAACAGAGAAGAAUUAAGACGACCAACAACAAUGUGCUUUGCUUUUUGUGCAUAACUGAAAUAAAACAGUAAUGCAUUUGUUUAUUUAAAUCACUGGACACAAAUAAUGACACAGAAACCAAAAUGGAAAAAAAACCCAGUGACAUUUCUUCCCUUUCCACUUUGUCACAAAACAAUAUUUAC